rnacentral:tRNA from 2 species
GGAAGCAUAGCUCAGCUGGUAGAGCACCUGCCUUACAAGCAGGGGGUCACAGGUUCGAGCCCUGUUGUUUCCACCA